CAUCUGAACUUCCACGACAACCUGCCUUCAUCCGAACUUCCACAGCAAACGGCCUUCAUCCGAGCUCUUACUGUAAGCAAAUUUCUUCCAAACUUCUAUUGCAGGCGGACUUCAGCUGGGCUUCUACAACAAGCGGUCUCCCUCCGGACUUCUACAAGAACUGGACUCCAUCCGAACUUCUACAGUGGAUGGGUUCCAGGCGAACUUCUACAACGGACGGGCUCCAGCAGCUGAAUUUUUACAAUGAC
rnacentral:lncRNA from 1 species